CCUGGGCUCUGAGCACACCAUGCUGUGCUCUCAGGCGGUGCAAAGUGGGAAUGGUUUCGGCACCCCAUCAACCUCUGCCCACCCUCUCCACCUGGAAGUCGGCCUUGGUUUAAGUAUUUCCUGGGUUGACACCACUCAGGAUGUUAAUUAAAAACAAAAGUUUUGAAAACACUGCGAGUGCAGUUAGCGCAGAACGCCCAGAGUAGGCAUCUGCGGCCGCCGGGAAGCCCGGGGUGUUGCGCUGACGAUACUCCCGGAUCCCCAGCCCGCGCCUGCUUCGCAGAUAGAAAACUCUCUGGAGCCCACCCUGGAGCGCACGGAAUUUCCCGGCUCCAGGAGAAAGAGGAGCGAAGCUGCCACGACCCCACGUCCUUUAAUCUUCAGUAUACACCAGUAACAUGAAGCUAAUGUGCUCAAUUUGCAUACGAGGAAACUGAGAAGAGGAAACACCCUACUUGAAUUUGUGGGACCACAAUAUUCUAAGAUUGAAACCUACCUAAUUCAGCUUUCCAGACUGAAGCCUGCAUUUGGGAUUUAGCAACCUUAUUCUAAAUAAGUAACUACCCAAGAGAAUCACCUUUGUGAAUUCAAUAAAUUGAAAUAUGUUGCAAACAAAA